AACGAACGCUGGCGGCAUGCCUAACACAUGCAAGUCGAACGAGACCUUCGGGUCUAGUGGCGCACGGGUGCGUAACGCGUGGGAACCUGCCCUUAGGUUCGGAAUAACUCCCCGAAAGGGGUGCUAAUACCGGAUAAUGUCUUCGGACCAAAGAUUUAUCGCCUUUGGAUGGGCCCGCGUUGGAUUAGCUAGUUGGUAGGGUAAAAGCCUACCAAGGCGACGAUCCAUAGCUGGUCUGAGAGGAUGAUCAGCCACACUGGGACUGAGACACGGCCCAGACUCCUACGGGAGGCAGCAGUGGGGAAUAUUGGACGAUGGGCGAAAGCCUGAUCCAGCAAUGCCGCGUGAGUGAGGAAGGCCGUAGGGUUGUAAAGCUCUUUUACACGGGAUGAUAAUGACAGUACCGGGAGAAUAAGCUCCGGCUAACUCCGUG
rnacentral:rRNA from 1 species